rnacentral:rRNA from 1 species
UAAUACGGGGGGGGCAGGCGUUGUUCGGAAUUACUGGGCGUAAAGGGCUCGUAGGCGGCCAGCCAAGCCGGACGUGAAAUCCCUCGGCUUAACCGGGGAACUGCGUCCGAUACUGGUUAGCUUGAAGCCGGGAGAGGGAUGCGGAAUUCCAGGUGUAGCGGUGAAAUGCGUAGAUAUCUGGAGGAACACCGGUGGCGAAGGCGGCAUCCUGGACCGGUCUUGACGCUGAGGAGCGAAAGCUAGGGGAGCAAACGGGAUUAGAUACCCCGGUAGUCCUAGCCCUAAACGAUGAAUGCUUGGUGUGGCGGGUAUCGAUCCCUGCCGUGCCGGAGCUAACGCGUUAAGCAUUCCGCCUGGGGAGUACGGUCGCAAGGCUG